rfam:Zootermopsis nevadensis contig15248, whole genome shotgun sequence.
GCCACGGUGGUCUAGCGGUUAGAACGCUGGCCUUGUUAUCCUGGGGUCUCGGGUUCGAUUCCCGGCGGUGCCC